AUCUGACUAGCUCAGUCAGUAAAGCAAGUGACUCUUGAUCUCAGGAUUGUGGGUUCAAGCCCCACAUUGGGUG
rnacentral:tRNA from 1 species